rnacentral:rRNA from 1 species
GAAAAGUGAGCGGAUGAACUGAGGGUAGCGGAGAAAUUCCAAUCGAACCUGGAGAUAGCUGGUUCUCUCCGAAAUAGCUUUAGGGCUAGCCUCAAGUGAUGAUUAUUGGAGGUAGAGCACUGUUUGGACGAGGGGCCCCUCUCGGGUUACCGAAUUCAGACAAACUCCGAAUGCCAAUUAAUUUAACUUGGGAGUCAGAACAUGGGUGAUAAGGUCCGUGUUCGAAAGGGAAACAGCCCAGACCACCAGCUAAGGUCCCAAAAUAUAUGUUAAGUGGAAAAGGAUGUGGCGUUGCCCAGACAACUAGGAUGUUGGCUUAGAAGCAGCCAUCAUUUAAAGAGUGCGUAAUAGCUCACUAGUCGAGUGACACUGCGCCGAAAAUGUACCGGGGCUAAACAUAUUACCGAAGCUGUGGAUUGUCCUUUGGACAAUGGUAGGAGAGCGUUCUAAGGGCGUUGAAGCAUGAUCGUAAGGACAUGUGGAGCGCUUAGAAGUGAGAAUGCCGGUGUGAGUAGCGAAAGACGGGUGAGAAUCCCGUCCACCGAUUGACUAAGGUUUCCAGAGGAAGGCUCGUCCGCUCUGGGUUAGUCGGGUCCUAAGCUGAGGCCGACAGGCGUAGGCGAUGGAUAACAGGUUGAUAUUCCUGUACCACCUAUAAUCGUUUUAAUCGAUGGGGGGACGCAGUAGGAUAGGCGAAGCGUGCGAUUGGAUUGCACGUCUAAGCAGUAAGGCUGAGUAUUAGGCAAAUCCGGUACUCGUUAAGGCUGA